rnacentral:rRNA from 1 species
AUAACGCUAGCUACAGGCUUAACACAUGCAAGUCGAGGGGCAGCAUGGUCUUAGCUUGCUAAGGCUGAUGGCGACCGGCGCACGGGUGAGUAACACGUAUCCAACCUGCCGUCUACUCUUGGCCAGCCUUCUGAAAGGAAGAUUAAUCCAGGAUGGGAUCAUGAGUUCACAUGUCCGCAUGAUUAAAGGUAUUUUCCGGUAGACGAUGGGGAUGCGUUCCAUUAGAUAGUAGGCGGGGUAACGGCCCACCUAGUCAACGAUGGAUAGGGGUUCUGAGAGGAAGGUCCCCCACAUUGGAACUGAGACACGGUCCAAACUCCUACGGGAGGCAGCAGUGAGGAAUAUUGGUCAAUGGGCGAUGGCCUGAACCAGCCAAGUAGCGUGAAGGAUGACUGCCCUACGGGUUGUAAACUUCUUUUAUAAAGGAAUAAAGUCGGGUAUGCAUACCCGUUUGCAUGUACUUUAUGAAUAAGGAUCGGCUAACUCCGUGCCAGCAGCCGCGGUAAUACGGAGGAUCCGAGCGUUAUCCGGAUUUAUUGGGUUUAAAGGGAGCGUAGAUGGAUGUUUAAGUCAGUUGUGAAAGUUUGCGGCUCAACCGUAAAAUUGCAGUUGAUACUGGAUGUCUUGAGUGCAGUUGAGGCAGGCGGAANUUCGUGGUGUAGCGGUGAAAUGCUUAGAUAUCACGAANAACUCCGAUUG